GGGCAAGACCGGUGCCAGCCGCCGCGGUAACACCGGCGGCCCGAGUGGUGAUCGUUAUUAUUGGGUCUAAAGGGUCCGUAGCCGGUUUGGUCAGUCCUCCGGGAAAUCUGAUAGCUCAACUAUUAGGCUUUCGGGGGAUACUGCCAGGCUUGGAACCGGGAGAGGUAAGAGGUACUACAGGGGUAGGAGUGAAAUCUUGUAAUCCCUGUGGGACCACCUGUGGCGAAGGCGUCUUACCAGAACGGGUUCGACGGUGAGGGACGAAAGCUGGGGGCACGAACCGGAUUAGAUACCCGGGUAGUCCCAGCCGUAAACGAUGCUCGCUAGGUGUCAGGCAUGGUGCGACCGUGUCUGGUGCCGCAGGGAAGCCGUGAAGCGAGCCACCUGGGAAGUACGGCCGCAAGGCUGAAACUUAAAGGAAUUGGCGGGGGAGCACAACAACGGGUGGAGCCUGCGGUUUAAUUGGAGUCAACGCCGGA
rnacentral:rRNA from 1 species